AUACGGAGGGUGCAAGCGUUAUUCGGAAUCACUGGGCGUAAAGCGCGCGUAGGCGGCCUGUCUAGUUGGGUGUGAAAGCCCGGGGCUCAACCCCGGAAUUGCAUUCAAAACUGGCAAGCUAGAGACCGAGAGAGGUGAGUGGAAUUUCCAGUGUAGAGGUGAAAUUCGUAGAUAUUGGAAAGAACACCAGUGGCGAAGGCGGCUCACUGGCUCGGUACUGACGCUGAGGUGCGAAAGCGUGGGGAGCAAACAGGAUUAGAAACCCCGGUAGUCC
rnacentral:rRNA from 1 species